GAUGAACGCUGGCGGCGUGCCUAAUACAUGCAAGUCGAGCGAACGGACGAGAAGCUUGCUUCUCUGAUGUUAGCGGCGGACGGGUGAGUAACACGUGGAUAACCUACCUAUAAGACUGGGAUAACUUCGGGAAACCGGAGCUAAUACCGGAUAAUAUUUUGAACCGCAUGGUUCAAAAGUGAAAGACGGUCUUGCUGUCACUUAUAGAUGGAUCCGCGCUGCAUUAGCUAGUUGGUAAGGUAACGGCUUACCAAGGCAACGAUGCAUAGCCGACCUGAGAGGGUGAUCGGCCACACUGGAACUGAGACACGGUCCAGACUCCUACGGGAGGCAGCAGUAGGGAAUCUUCCGCAAUGGGCGAAAGCCUGACGGAGCAACGCCGCGUGAGUGAAGAAGGUCUUCGGAUCGUAAAACUCUGUUAUUAGGGAAGAACAUAUGUGUAAGGAACUGUGCACAUCUUGACGGUACCUAAUCAGAAAGCCACGGCUAACUACGUG
rnacentral:rRNA from 1 species